AGGGUUGAAGACAUGGCAAGCGAAACACGAUCUACAACGCUAUCGAUCAACUCCAAAAUGGAGACCUGUAAAGUGCCCUCGUCAAUUGGAUUCUGUAGGGUGUGGGUACUACGUGCAAAAGUACAUACAUGAGAUAGUGCAUAAUUCUAGUACUUCUAUUACUAGCCUUUUCAAUACCAAAAAUGCAUAUAGGCAAGAGGAGAUUGACGAGAUUCGAACUAAAUGGGCAGCUUUUGUUAGCAGAUUUGUGUAAGUUUUUAAAUGUUUUUUUUUUGGUCAAGUUAAGUUAGUAGUUGAAUUUUGUAGUUAAGUUAGUAGUUGGUCGAGUUAAGUUAAGUUUUUGUAGGGACGGGCAGUCCUAUAGUUUUUUUAAGGGCAGGUGGUCCCAUACUAAUUGUUGUUUGUUAGAUAGUUUGUACGUAUACUUUAGUUAGUGAAGGAACUUUCUGUUGUACA